UGAGGAAUAUUGGUCAAUGGGGGCAACCCUGAACCAGCCAAGUCGCGUGAAGGAUGAAGGUCUUAUGGAUUGUAAACUUCUUUUACACGGGAAUAAAGUGGGGGACGUGUCCCCCUUUACAUGUACCGUGUGAAUAAGGAUCGGCUAACUCCGUGCCAGCAGCCGCGGUAAUACGGAGGAUCCGAGCGUUAUCCGGAUUUAUUGGGUUUAAAGGGUGCGCAGGCGGGAUGUUAAGUCGGCGGUGAAAUUUUGCAGCUCAACUGUAAAAGUGCCUUCGAUACUGGCCUCCUUGAGUGUGGAUGAAGUAGGCGGAAUUUGUGGUGUAGCGGUGAAAUGCUUAGAUAUCACGAGGAACUCCGAUUGCGCAGGCAGCUUACUAAGCCACAACUGACGCUCAUGCACGAAGGCGUGGGGAUCAAACA
rnacentral:rRNA from 1 species